CGGGACGGGUGAGUAAUGUCGUAGGAACUGCCGAUGGAGGGGGAUAACUACUGGAAACGGUAGCUAAUACCGCAUAACGUCGCAAGACCAAAGAGGGGGACCUUCGGGCCUCUUGCCAUCGGAUGUGCCCAGAUGGGAUUAGCUAGUAGGUGGGGUAACGGCUCACCUAGGCGACGAUCCCUAGCUGGUCUGAGAGGAUGACCAGCCACACUGGAACUGAGACACGGUCCAG
rnacentral:rRNA from 1 species